AGGAUCAUUAAUGAGUUGUGAUGGGGUUUGAUGCUGGCGUCCAAUUCAUCUUGGAUGCAUGUGCUUGCCCUGACAAUCAUAUUCCAAACACCCGUGCACAUUUUGAGGGAAUUAAGUUGAUUUUCCGCCUUUUUGGCGAGCAUCUUGCAUUCCCUCAAAUUACUAUACACUGUUGAUAAUGCUGAAUGUGCUUGUGCCGCAAGGCCAUUAAUAUAAUAUAACUUUUAACAACGGAUCUCUUGGCUCUCGCAUCGAUGAAGAACGCAGCGAAAUGCGAUAAGUAAUGUGAAUUGCAGAAUUCAGUGAAUCAUCGAAUCUUUGAACGCACCUUGCGCCCCCUGGUAUUCCGGGGAGCACGCCUGUUCGAGUGUCGUGAAAUUUCUCAAGCUUGGAUGGAUUUUUCUGUCCUUAGUUUGGUUGUUGAGCUUUGCCGUGUCCUUCAUUGGAACGGCUGGCCCUAAAAGCAUUAGCUGAUCCAUGUGUGGGACUGGUUCUACUCAGCGUGAUAACAGUCUGAUCGUUGAGGACAUCUUUUGGGAUGGCCGGUUUUCAUUUGGGUUGCUUCUAAACCUGGUUAUGCAGAUUGUUUGAAUCUGUAUUCCGCUUUUCAGCUUUGACCUCGAAUCAGGUGGGACUACCCGCUGAACUUAAGCAUAUCAAUAAGCGGAGGAAAAGAAACUAACAAGGAUUCCCCUAGUAACGGCGAGUGAAGAGGGAAGAGCUCAAAUUUAAAAUCUGGCAGCUUUUGGCUGCUCGAAUUGUAAUCUAGAGAAGCGUUUUCCGUGUUGGACUGUGUACAAGUUUCCUGGAUACGGAACAUCAUAGAGGGUGAGAAUCCCGUCCUUGACACAGACUCCCAGCACUUUUGUGAUGCGCUCUCGACGAGUCGAGUUGUUUGGGAUUGCAGCUCAAAAUGGGAGGUAAAUUCCUUCUAAAGCUAAAUACUGGCGAGAGACCGAUAGCGAACAAGUACCGUGAGGGAAAGAUGAAAAGCACUUUGGAAAGAGAGUUAAACAGUACGUGAAAUUGUUAAAAGGGAAACGCUUGAAGUCAGUCGCGUUUGCUUGGACUCAGCCUUACUUUGGUUUGGUGCAUUUCCUUGCAGACGGGCCAGCGUCCAUGUUGUUUGCCGGAAAAGGGGCGAGAAAAUGUGGCUCCUUCGGGAGUGUUAUAGAUUUCGCUUGUAUGCGGGGAACGAUAUGGAGUGGUACAG
rnacentral:rRNA from 1 species